UUUAUUAAGACAAUCAGUUCGUCAAGAAAUUAUGAGUAGAAAAUAAUAUUAAUUAAUGAUUGAACCUGAUAUUUUACUGAACUUCCCUAAAAAGAUUUUUAGGAACAAUGGUUGUUAGUUAAAGACGAUUGUCAAAAGAUGAGACUGUUAUUUAUAAGUUCCAGUGUCUCUUUAUCAAAAUAAUGUUUCCUUCAAUUUAUCUGAACUAGCUUUAAAAUUCACUUAGAUUUGGAGUUAACUUUGCGUUAGUGGCUAUAAAUCCUCAUUUAAACCAUUCUAUGAUCGUUUGUAUUAUUGUAUUAAUUAUUUUAUUGCAUUACUUUAAUACUGUAUUGCUAAUUUCUCGUACCACUUUCAAAGCAUCAUUACCUGUUCUUUUAAAAAAUCGUAUUGCUGUCCAUCAAACCAAGAGAAACUAUAAAAAUACUUGACGAAUUUACUACAAAGCAAUGCGAUGUUUCAUAUCCGAAAUACUGUAAUUGUC